rnacentral:precursor_RNA from 13 species
GCCCGCUGGCCACGCUGCUACUCUGCUGUUAUUUUUUUAGGUUUUGAUUUUUAUUACAUUCUCAUGCGAAAGUCAAAACCUAAAGAAAACGCUGCAAAGCUAGACGACUCUGCUGUGGGAG